rnacentral:rRNA from 1 species
UACAGAGGGUGCAAGCGUUAAUCGGAAUUACUGGGCGUAAAGCGCGCGCAGUCGGUUAUUUAAGUCGGGUGUGAAAGCCCCGGGCUCAACCUGGGAAUUGCAUUCGAUACUGGAUAGCUAGAGUUCGGCAGAGGGAAGCGGAAUUUCCGGUGUAGCGGUGAAAUGCGUAGAUAUCGGAAGGAACAUCAGUCGCGAAAGCGGCUUCCUGGACCAGAACUGACGAUCAGGCUCGAAAGCGUGGGGAGCAAACAGG